GACGAACGCUGGCGGCGUGCUUAACACAUGCAAGUCGAACGGAAAGGCCCUGCUUUUGUGGGGUGCUCGAGUGGCGAACGGGUGAGUAACACGUGAGUAACCUGCCCUUGACUUUGGGAUAACUUCAGGAAACUGGGGCUAAUACCGGAUAGGAGCUCCUGCUGCAUGGUGGGGGUUGGAAAGUUUCGGCGGUUGGGGAUGGACUCGCGGCUUAUCAGCUUGUUGGUGGGGUAGUGGCUUACCAAGGCUUUGACGGGUAGCCGGCCUGAGAGGGUGAUCGGCCACAUUGGGACUGAGAUACGGCCCAGACUCCUACGGGAGGCAGCAAUGGGGAAUAUUGCACAAUGGGCGGAAGCCUGAUGCAGCAACGCCGCGUGCGGGAUGACGGCCUUCGGGUUGUAAACCGCUUUCGCCUGUGACGAAGCGUGAGUGACGGUAAUGGGUAAAGAAGCACCGGCUAACUACGUG
rnacentral:rRNA from 1 species